GUGCACCAGUCGAGAAUACUUCACACUGUGCGAAAGCACGAUGAGGGAAUCCCAAGUGCUUGCACGUAAGUGUAAGCUGUUUCUCUGUCUAAAACGCAGAGAGAGUAAGGGCUGGGUAAGACGGGUGCCAGCCGCCGCGGUAAUACCUGCAGCUCAAGUGGUGACCGUUAUUAUUGGGCCUAAAACGUCCGUAGCCGGCUUAAUAAAUGCCUGGGUAAAUUGUGUAGCUUAACUAUACGAAUUCCGGGUAGACUGUUAAACUUGAGACCGGAGGAAGUUAGAGGUACGUCCU
rnacentral:rRNA from 1 species